rnacentral:rRNA from 1 species
GAUGAACGCUAGCUACAGGCUUAACACAUGCAAGUCGAGGGGCAGCGGGAUUGAAGCUUGCUUCAAUUGCCGGCGACCGGCGCACGGGUGAGUAACGCGUAUCCAACCUUCCGCUUACUCGGGGAUAGCCUUUCGAAAGAAAGAUUAAUACCCGAUGGUAUCUUAAGCACGCAUGGGAAUAUUUGUUAAAGAUUCAUCGCUGAUAGAUAGGCAUGCGUUCCAUUAGGCAGUUGGCGGGGUAACGGCCCACCAAACCGACGAUGGAUAGGGGUUCUGAGAGGAAGGUCCCCCACAUUGGUACUGAGACACGGACCAA